GCAGUGGUGUUUCAGUGAUAGAAUUCCUACCUUCCAUGUGGGAGACCCAGGUUCGAUUCCAGGAUAAUGCC
rnacentral:tRNA from 1 species